rnacentral:rRNA from 1 species
UAAAGUUGUUGCGGUUAAAAAGCUCGUAGUCGGAGGUGUGUCUCGGACGGUUGGUUCGCCGCUUGUCGGUGUUUAACUGGCCGGUCCGGACGUCCUGCCGGUGGUGCCGUCAGGCGCCGUCAUCCUUCUUUGGUGCUCUUUACCGAGUGCCUUAGUGGGCCGGCACGUUUACUUUGAACAAAUUAGAGUGCUCAAAGCAGGCCGUUGGUCGCCUGAAUACUGUGUGCAUGGAAUAAUGGAAUAGGACCUCGGUUCCAUUUUGUUGGUUUUCAGAACUCGAGGUAAUGAUUAAUAGGGACGGACGGGGGCAUUCGUAUUGCGACGUUAGAGGUGAAAUUCUUGGAUCGUCGCAAGACGAACCGAUGCGAAAGCAUUUGCCAAGAACGUUUUCGUUGAUCAAGAACGAAAGUUAGAGGUUCGAAGGCGAUCAGAUACCGCCCUAGUUCUAACCAUAAACGAUGCCAGCUAGCCAUCCGCCGAAGUUCCUUCUAUGACUCGGCGGGCAGCUUCCGGGAAACCAAAGCUCUUGGGUUCCGGGGGAAGUAUGGUUGCAAAGCUCAAACUUAAAGGAAUUGACCG